rnacentral:piRNA from 1 species
UAAUGUCUGGUGCACCAAUCCGUUUACGU